rnacentral:lncRNA from 1 species
UUUGACUCUCCUCUUCCAUUUAAGUAAUUGAUCUUGAAAGUAAAUAAAGAUACAUAAGACACUUUUUGGAAUGUGCCCCAUCCUUUUUAUACAUAUUUGAAAGAAUUAUAACAUUACAUUAUUUAUCAACUAAAUAUAAUAACCUCCCUCCCUCCCUCCCUCCCUAUUCCCGAGUUUGAUUUCUGUGUAGAACAAUUUUUUAGUCGGUCUUUAAAUGUCUCUCAGCCGAACAUCGAAUUACUAGUGUAGUGCCCCUUCUCGUAGAUAAAUAGACAAUUCAUAGCCUAUUUUGAUUGACUUGUUUAAGUUUACAUCUGGAGAGCCAUGAACACUUACACACUUGUAAGAUUGAUUGAGAUAACUUAUUAUUAUUGAAACAACUUAGGACAAGUUGAUAAAUUAAUUUCAGCUUAUAUUCAUACGUUUUCUCAGAUAGUUUUCGAAAACAACUUAUUUUCAUCUUAAGUUAUAAUCACUUAAUUAAAGCUGAAAAUUCUCUUAAAGCAAAAAAAAGCUUAAAUUGGACAGAGUAAACUCGUAUGGCCAAAGUAGUUAAAGAAAACAAAU